UACGUAGGCAGCAAGCGUUGUUCGGAGUUACUGGGCGUAAAGGGUGCGUAGGCGGCCCUGUAAGUAUGGUGUGAAAUCUCCCGGCUUAACUGGGAGGGUGCGCUAUAGACUGCGGGGCUCGAGUGUGGGAGAGGAAAGUGGAAUUCCUGGUGUAGCGGUGAAAUGCGUAGAUAUCAGGAGGAACACCGGUGGUGUAAACGGCUUUCUGGACCAUAACUGACGCUGAGACACGAAAGCGUGGGUAGCAAACAGG
rnacentral:rRNA from 1 species